rnacentral:rRNA from 1 species
AAAGUCUCCCACCGCGGUGGCGGCGCCGUCGGCAGUCGCCGACGAUCGGCGGCGGCGGCGGAGAUGUUGGAGGACCAGGUCGCCUUCCUGCUGCAGAAGUACCUCGGCAACUACGUCCGGGGGCUCAGCAAGGAGGCCCUCAAGAUCAGCGUCUGGAGAGGUGAUGUGGAACUCACAAACAUGCAGUUGAAGCCUGAGGCGCUCAAUUCAUUGAAGUUACCUGUGAAAGUCAAAGCUGGUUUCCUUGGUUCAGUUAAGCUCAAGGUCCCUUGGAGCAGACUUGGCCAAGAGCCAGUUUUGGUUUAUCUUGAUCGUAUUUUUAUAUUAGCUGAACCAGCAACAGAUGUUGAAGGUUGCAGUGAGGAUGCUGUCCAAGAGGUCAAACGAACUAGAGUUAGGGAGAUGGAAAUGAAAUUAUUGGAGAGCCAGCAACAACUGAACUCCGAACUGAACUCGUCAUGGCUUGGGUCUUUCAUUAGCACUGUGAUUGGAAACAUCAAGUUAUCCAUUGGCAAUAUUCACAUCAGAUACGAAGACAUAGAGAGCAAUCCAGGCCACCCUUUCGCAGCAGGUUUGGUACUUUCGAAGCUGUCAGCAGUUACUGUGGAUGACCAUGGGAAGGAAACUUUUGCCACUGGUGGAGAUUUGGACCGAGUGAAGAAGUCUGUUGAACUUGAGAGUCUGGCGCUGUAUUUUGAUUCUGAUAGCAGUCCUUGGAGCGUGGAUAAACCCUGGGAAGAUUUACUGCCUUCAGAAUGGAGUCAGGUUUUUGAGUUCAGAAAGCAAGAUAGUUCUAGUACUGCUUCAAAAACUCACACUUACAUAUUAAGACCUAUAUCUGGCAAAGCAAAAUAUACAAAGGUACACAUUGAUGAAGCGAAGAGAAGCGGACAGGCAUUGCAAAAUGCUGCUGUUGAUUUGGAUGAUGUUACUUUGUCUUUGUCAAAGGAUGGCUACAGGGACAUCUUGAAGAUGGCUGAUAAUUUUUCUUCUUUUAAUCAACGGCUGAGAUAUGCUCAUUACCGGCCAUCUUUACCAGUGAAAUCUGAUCCGAAGGCUUGGUGGAAGUACGCAUACAAAGUAGUGACUCAUGAAAUGAAGAAGGCAAGUGGAAGUCUAUCUUGGGAGCAACUACUGAGAAACGCAAGACUUCGAAAGACAUAUGUAUCUUUAUAUGCGUCCCUUCUGAAGUCUGACAUGAGUCGUCCGGUUGUUGAAGAUAAUGAGGAGAUUAAUAGCCUGGAUCGUGAACUAGAUAUGGAAGUUAUUCUGCAAUGGAGGAUGCUGGCCCACAAGUUUGUAGAACAGUCAGCAGAAAGACAGCAUGCUCAACAAAACAAGAAGCAGUCCUGGUGGUCAUUUGGAUGGACUGGCUCUUCGAAGGAUGAUGGAGACUCGAAGAGUUUUAGUGAUGAAGAUUGGGAAAGGUUAAAUAGGAUAAUCGGGUACAAAGAAAAUACGGAGUAUAUUCCUGCUCAACAAGAUAUGAAAUUGAUGCAGUUUUAUUUUGAAAUACGCAUGAAACAUAAUGCAUCAAGGCUUAUCAUUGAUGGUUCAGAGUGCCUUGCUGAUCUUUCAUGUGAAGAUUUCCGCUGUAACUUGAAAAUGUAUCCAGAGGCAAAAGUUUUUGACCUGAAGCUUGGUUCCUACAAACUUUUAUCUCCAUAUGGCCUGCUGGCUGAGAGUGCAAGUGUUGUUGAUUCCCUUGUUGGUGUCUUCUCCUACAAACCUUUCGAUGAGCAACUGGACUGGAGUUUUACAGCCAGGGCUUCUCCUUGUUACAUAACUUAUUUGAAAGAUUCCAUUGACCAAAUCGUUGCCUUCUUCAAGAGUAGCCCUACAGUUAGCCAGACCCUUGCACUGGAGACUGCUGCUGCUGUACAGAUGACAUUAGAUGAAGUGAAACGCACCGCUCAACAGCAAAUGACACGUGUUCUAAAAGAUCAGUCCAGGUUUUCACUGAAUCUGGAUAUCGCUGCUCCUAAAAUUACUGUUCCUACCAAGUUCCGCCCGGAUGAUGUACAUGAGACUAAGCUUUUGCUUGAUCUUGGAAACUUAAUUCUUCGGACAGAGGAGAUAUGGGAUUCAUAUUCUUCAGAAGAGCAGGAUAUGUAUUUGAAUUUCAAUUUGGUGCUCAAUGAUGUAUCUGCAUUUCUGGUGGAUGGUGAUUACCAUUGGAACGACACAUCUAAAGAAGUUAAUUUAUUGCCAGUUAUCGACAAGUGUGGAAUUGCUUUAAAGCUUCAGCAGAUCCAGGUAGAAAGUUCACUAUAUCCUUCCACAAGACUGGCAGUACGGGUGCCUUCCUUGGGGUUUCAUUUCUCUCCGGCACGCUAUCAUCGAUUGAUGGAGAUUUUAAAGAUUUUUCAAGACACCAAUAGUGAGAAUAAUAGUUCAGACCUUGCACAUUUGUGGGAUCAGGCUGACUUUGAGGGAUGGUCUUCUCUUCUUACAUGGAAGGGUGUUGGAAACCGAGAAGCUCUUUGGCAACGAAGAUACUUGCGGCUAGUGGGGCCAUUUCUCUAUGUAUUUGAAAAUCCAGAGUCUACAACAUAUAAGCAAUGGUCCAGUUUAAGUGGGAAGCAAGUUCAUCAGGUUCCUACUGAGCUUACAAAUGGUGUGCAAAAUAUUGUGGCACUGCAUGACUCUGGUCAAGUCAAUCCCAAGAUUCUGGAAGAUACUGGUGCUUUGAUACUGUUGUUUGACAGCGAGGAAACAAGAAAAAUAUGGCAGAACCGCUUGCAGGGUGCUAUAUAUCGUGCAUCGGGUUCUGCCACAGUUUCCAAUUUUCCUGAAGCUGCUUUCACAUCAGAAGCUCGCUCUUUCAAAGGCAGUCUUCCUGAUGUUGUCAACAUAGAAAAAUUGUUUCUUGCUGGUAUUCUUGAUGAACUAAAGAUCUGUUUUUCGUGUGGCUAUGAGAGUAACCACAGGCUAAAAAAAGUACUACUGGCCAAGGAGAGCAGCUUGUUUGAAUUUCGAGCAGUUGGUGGUCAGGUUGAACUCUCAAUGAAGGGUGGCAACCUACUGAUUGGGACUAUUUUGCGGUCACUGGAAAUUGAAGAUCAGUAUUUUUACCCAGGGAGUCCUGUACCAAGGUACUUGGCAAGGUCCUUCAUCAACAGUAUGCAAACCAAAGAAAUCCCCACUCCUGCUCGAAAGAAUAGUUCAGAAACUAAAGGCACCUCACUAAAGAAAAGUGACAGCGAGGAAAGAUUUUUUGAAGCAUCAGAUGAUUUUGACGAAUUUGGAACACCUAUGCUAAAAGAGAGGAGUAUAUCAGAUUAUUUUAGUUCCCAAGAUGUUUUACCUACUGGCCUACCUUCCUUGCAACCCCCUGCAUUUAGUCGAAUUCCUGGUUUGUUACCAGACAGUGAAAUUAAAAUGGUUGGAUUCACUUCAGAAGGAAGUGGUAUUUCUGAUAGUUUUGUGAAAGCUCAGAUUGUUAUAUAUGAUCAGCAGUCUCUCCAGUACAACAACUUGGACACCAGGGUGGUUGUAAGUGUUGCUACUCUAACCUUCUUUUGUCAUCGGCCAACUGUCCUUGCAAUCAUGGAAUUUAUGAAUGCUAUCAAUCUUGCAAAUGACCCUGAUAGCGAUAAAGAUAGAAACACAGAUGAUAUGAAGUCUGAUAAUGUUAUCGAGGAGCCUAAAUCUGAUCUGGAGUCAGAACCUGUCAUAAAAAGGUUGCUGUCUAAAGGUAAAAGCAGAGUAGUUUUUCAUCUUACAUCAAGCAUGGCAGAGGCACAAGUAUUACUUAUGAAUGAAAAUGGUGAUCUACUUGCUACUUUGUCACAAAAUAACCUCUCAACUGAUAUCAAGGUGUUCACAUCCUCAUUCAGUAUAAAGGCUGCACUUGGAAACCUCAAAAUAAGUGAUGAUAGUCUUCGUAGCAACCAUCCUUACUUUUGGGUCUGUGAUAUGCGAAAUCCAGGAGGAUCUUUUGUGGAGAUCGACUUCUGUUCAUACAGUGUUGGUGAUGAAGACUACUGUGGGUAUGACUACAGUCUUGUAGGGAAGCUCUCUGAAGUUAGAAUUGUUUAUCUUAACCGUUUUGUUCAAGAGCUUACUGGUUAUUUCAUGGGUCUUGUCCCUAAAAGUAAUGAUGGUGUCGUAAAGCUAAAAGACAAUGUAACUAACUCAGAGAAGUGGGUUAGCAAAACUGAUAUGGAAGGAUCGCCUGCCCUCAAGCUGGAUGUUUCUUUCAGUAGACCUAUAAUUGUUAUGCCUCAUGAUACUAAUAGUCAUGACUUCUUGGAGCUUGAUGUCCUGUACAUAACAAUCCAAAAUGAGUUCCAAUGGAUAGGUGGUGACAAGAAUGAGAUGGGUGCUGUCCACUUGGAAAUUUUAACAGUUACAGUAAAAGACAUAAAUUUAACCAUUGGUAUGGAUAUGGUGCGGGGUGAAACUAUAAUACAGGAUGUGAAAGGUCUCUCCGUUGAGAUUCAUCGAUCAUUGCGUGAUCUGAUGCACCAGUUGCCAGUGGUGGAGGCAGCAAUUAAGGUGGAUGUCCUGAAAGCAGCAUUAUCCAAUCGGGAAUAUGAAGUUAUAUCUGAAUGUGCGGCGUCAAACUUUGCUGAGGCACCACAUAUUGUGCCUGCUCUGGAUGGCCCUCGAGAUGGAACUUCCACAUCGGAAUCUCAUGUUUCUGCAUCUUCUGUUUCUUCUGGAAGUAUUCAGGACCUGUCCCAAGAUACAGAAACAUGGAUAGCAAAUAAAUUUUCUGUUUCAAUAAAUCUGGUCGAGCUUUCUCUGCAUUCAGGAUCAACAAGGGAUUCCCCUCUGGCUAGCGUGCAGGCAAGUGGUGCUUGGCUUCUCUAUAAAUCAAAUACACGGGAGGAGAGUUUCCUUUUCGCGACACUCAAAGGCUUUUCUGUUUUUGAUGACCGUGAAGGAACAAAAGAUGAGUUAAGGCUUGCCAUUGGGAAAUCAGCAACAGUCAGAGACACAUCAUCUGCUGAUGGGUAUGAUAACCCUAAUGAACUUGAUUCAGGUGAACGAAGGAUACAAAAGGAUCUAGGCCUCGAGCCAAUCCCCUCGAUGCUCAUUUUUGAUGCCAUCUUGCGAAAAUCCUCGUCUUCUGUCUCCGUAUGCGUUCAGCGACCCAAGUUUCUUGUGGCUCUUGACUUCUUACUAGCAAUAGUCGAGUUCUUUGUGCCAUCUGCGCGCAGCCUGUUAUCCAAUGACGAAGACAAGGACCUUCUACACAUGAUAUCUCCAGUGGUGUUCACUGAUAAAGUUUAUUACCAGGAGGAUUCAACUUUUAGUCUUUCACCUCAGAAACCUCUGAUUGUUGAUAAUGAAAAGUUUGAGCACUUUAUCUAUGACGGAAAUGGUGGUAAAUUAUAUUUGCGGGAUAGAGAGGGGGAGAUUCUUUCAAGCCCUAGUGCUGAAAGUUUCAUCCAUGUGCUCGGUGGUAAGACAUUGCAAUUUCGAAAUGUCAAGAUAGUGAAUGGUGAGUAUCUGGACUCCUGUGUAUCUCUUGGCAGUGAUUGCUGGUACUCAGCAUCAGAAGAUGACCAUGUCUACCUAGUAAGAGAAAAUGCGCCCGGAAAGGAGGGCCUCCAGUCAAUUCUUAAUGAGGAAAUUCCGGAAGGCAUUGCUGAAAAUGAAAGUUCUGACAGAUCAACAGAAUUCAUAAUUGAACUACAGGCUAUUGGACCAGAGCUUACAUUCUACAGCACAUCAAGGAAUGCUGGUGAAAAUGUGGCGCUAUCGACAAAGGUUAUUCAUGCCCGUACAGAUGCAUUUUGCAGGCUUGUAAUGAAGGGCGACAGUAUGGAUAUGAGUGGACACAUACUUGGUUUAAAGAUGGAGAGUAAUGGCAUCAGAGUCAUAGAACCCUUUGACAUGUCCAUGAAAUACUCAAAUGCAUCUGGAAAAACAAAUUUGCAUCUGCUGGUUUCUGAAAUAUAUAUGAAUUUUUCCUUCAGUAUUCUGAGACUAUUUUUAGCUGUUCAGGAAGAAAUUUCAGCAUUUCUCAGGAUGUCAUCAAAGAAAAUGUCAAUGAUGUGUUCUCAGUUCGAUAAAGUUACAACUAUGCAGGGCAAUGUGAAGGAUGAAGUUUACUCUUUUUGGCGACCACGUGCUCCAUCUGGAUAUGCCAUUUUCGGCGAUUUCCUCACCCCAAUGAAUGACCCCCCAACUAAAGGAGUCCUUGCUUUGAACACAAACGUUGCAAGAGUGAAAAGGCCUUUAUCAUAUAAGCUAAUCUGGCAAUCUGGUUCUGCAACAAAUGAACUUCAUCAUGACAACAAAGAUACAAAAAAUAGUCUCUCUAUGAUUGACCAGCUAUGCUCUGUUUGGUUACCUGUAGCGCCUGCGGGCUAUGUUGCCUUGGGUUGUGUAGUUUCAGCUGGAACUGCUGAACCACCUUUGUCUGCAGUUUUUUGUUUAACUGCUUCCUUGAUUUCUUCAUGUGGUCUAAGGGAUUGUAUUGCACUGAGGGGUAAUACUAAUACGUCAUUUUGGCGCGUUGAUAAUGCUUUUGGUACCUUUUUACCGGGGGAUCCUGCUAAUGUCAGUGUGCAUCCAAAUGCUUACGAUCUUCGCCACAUGCUAUUCAAUAGUGCGGAUUCAUCUUCGAAGAAUAGCUCUAAAGGGAAAGAUAGUCGGAAUGAUGAUGCCUCUCAGAUAGAGAGAUCGGCGUUGACUUCAGGUCGGCUGUUUGAAGCAGUAGCAAGCUUCAAACUUGUUUGGUCAAACGAUGGAAUGUCUGCGCCAAAAAAGCUCUCAGUAUGGCGUCCAAUGAUGUCGGAAGAAAUGUUUUACUUUGGGGACAUCGCUCUUAACGGGUAUGAACCUCCGAAUUCAGCUGUUGUCCUUCGUGAUACUGGUGAAGAUACCUUCCUAAGAGCCCCAGAAAGUUAUAAGAUUGUUGGUCAAAUUAAGAAGCACAGGGGUAGAGAUGGUAUAUCAUUUUAUUAUCCUCAAGCUCCACCUGGUUUUGUUGCUUUAGGAUGUGUUGCAUCUAAAGGUCCACCAACAAAAGAGGAUUUCAGUAUGCUAAGAUGUAUUAGAAGUGAUAUGGUGACGGGAGGUCAAUUUUCUGAGGAAAGCGUAUGGGACUCACGUGGCUCUAAAACAUCUGAAAAUUUUAGUUUAUGGACUGUGGAUGAGGAUGCUGGUACAUUUCUUGUUAGAAGUGAAUUUCGUAAACCUCCAAGAAGACUCGCUCUGAAGCUUGCUGGCCCCCCUAUAUCUAGCAGUUCAGAUAACAUCAUUAUUGAUGCUGUAAUAAAAACGUUCUCUGCUGUUUCCUUUGAUGAUUAUGGAGGAAUGAUGGUGCCAUUAUUUGGCAUAUCUUUUGAUGGUGUUGGAUUUAGUUAUCAUGGGGGUCCUCACCAUCUAAAUGCAACUGUGAGUUUGUCGUUUGUGGCCAGAUCUUAUAAUGACAAGUGUAAUUUGUGGGAGCCCUUCAUUGAACCAACAGAUGGAUUUCUUAGGUACCAGUAUGAUGUGAACACACCAGGUUCUCCUGCGCAACUCCGUAUUACUUCGACACGGGAUCUGAAUUUGAAUGUGUCAGCUUCAAAUACAAACAUGUUAUCACAAGCUUAUCUUAGCUGGAGCAAUAUUACCCUUGGUGAUGAAUUAUACAGGAAGGAAACAUCUUCCCCUACUCAGGGAUCAAUUCUUGAUGUGCAUCAGCGAAGGAACUAUUAUAUUAUUCCACAAAACAAGCUUGGUCAAGACAUAUACGUAAGAACAACUGAAUAUAGGAGCUCAGAUAUUACUCUGUUGCCAUCUGGGGAUGAUAGAUCUAUAAAAGUUCCAGCAUCAAGGGAUCUACUGGAUUCUCAUUUGAAAGGGAAAUCUGCUAGGUUAUAUCGUCUGAUGAUAACUGCUAUUAUCGCAGAUGCUGAGAUCAAUGCUGGUAAAGGGUUAGCAACUGGUGAAUAUAUGACAGCAGUGCGGCUCUAUUCAGAAGGUAGUUCUAUAUCUGGUGUUCAGCAACAGAGUGCCCGUACUUGUGCUGCUGCUGGAGAAAGUUCUUCGCAAAUCACAAGAAAAAUGACUUGGAAUGAAAUGUUUUUCUUCAAAGUCGAUUCUGAGGAGAAUUAUGUUCUGGAACUUGUUGUCCUUGAUGCUGGUAGAGGUCAACCCGUUGGUAUUUACUCCGCUCCACUGAAGCAAGUAGUGCAAAAGCUCCCUUCUGCCUCAAGUUCUGACUAUGCAAAAUUUGAACUGACUUUAGGAGAUCUUAUGACAACAAAGGAACAUGAAAUUCUUAAACCAAGUGGAAAAAUAAGAUUUGCGGUGCUUGUUUCUGGUAGGGCUACUGCUAAACAAGGAAGCAGAGCCAGUCCUAACAGAAGCAGGAGUGGGUAUAUACAAAUUAGUCCUUCCAAAGAUGGCCCUUGGACAAACAUGAAGUUGAACUAUGCUGUGCCAGCAGCAUGUUGGAGGUUUGGGGAUUGUGUGAUUGCUAGUGAAGCAACAGUCAAGGAGGGAAACAGAUACGUUGGCAUACGUUCCCUUGUGUCAAUCACCAAUACAACGGAUUUUGCUAUUGAUUUGCGUCUAAAAGGAAGAGAUUCUCAAAGUGCGGGAUCAGACGGCCAGUUAGAGAAUUCUGAUAAAGAUGAUCAAAUAGAAGUUGGUGUGUUGGAGCCUGGUUCCACUAUUCCAGUUCCAUUGUCAGGUCUCUCACAUCCUGGUGUGCUUUAUACAUUGCAACUAAGACCGACCAUUCAUCAUGAACUUGUGCAGCAUUCCUGGAGUGAUGUCCAGGAGAGGCGCAGUCAAACUGAGUUCCGGAAUGAGCAGGUCCUAGAUAUAUGUGUAUCAGAUCUGUAUGAAUCUGAAAACUUACUGUUCUGCUCACAGAUAGAUGGGUCUUCUAGUACUUGUCAAGGAUUAUGGUUUUGCUUGAGUAUAGAAGCCAAGGAGAUAGGCAAAGAUGUCCGAACUGACCCAAUAUACGAUUGGAGUAUAAUUAUCAAAUCCCCAUUAUCGUUGACAUAUUAUCUUCCCAUUCCUGCACAUUACACUGUUAGUGCCAGCCACCUUGAUGAGGAAGAGACGAGUUGCUCCCGGGGCGAGCUAAACCCUGGUGAGGUUGUGAAGGUUCAAAAUGUUGAUCCAAGAAAUCCUUUGUACCUGUCCCUUGUUCCACAUGGGGGAUGGGAAUCAGUACAUGAGCCUGUUCCAAUAUCACAUCCCACCGAAGUUCCUUCAAAAUUCAUUAAUCUAAGAAGUUCUUUGUCAGGAAGAGUUGUGCAGAUUAUGCUUGAACAAAGCAGUGAUAAGGACUAUCUGAUGGCAAGGGUUAUCAGAAUAUAUGUUCCGUAUUGGAUAUCAUUUGCAAGAUUGCCUCCACUCACCUUGCAAUUCGUUGAUAUCACUGGAAGAAGAGACAAGAGACGCUAUCUUGCGCGCCCACGUGCAGAAAAAAGUGAUAAACUGCUCUAUGGUAUAGGACAUGAAGAAUUGGUCGACGGAUACACCAUAGCAUCUGGGUUGAAUUUUAAGGGUUUAGGUCUCUCAGCAUGUGUCUCCAGAAAUGGACAACAGUUAGGAGCUCUCAAAGAACUAUCACCUCUUGCUGACAUGGAUGGUACAGUUGAUCUUUCUGCCCAUGAUAAUGAUGGAAAGUGCACACAUGUAUUUCUUUGCUCAAAGCUAUGCUCGUACCAAGCUGUUCCAACAAAGGUUAUCUAUGUACGGCCAUACACAACUUUUACAAACAGGGUUGGCCAAGAUAUGUUCAUAAAACUUAGUGCUGGAGAUGAUCCGAAGGUCCUACAUGCGUACGACAGGAGAGUCUCCUUUUUGUACUCUGAAGUGGGACCUGACAAACUGCAGGUCCGAUUGGAAGAUACUGACUGGUGUCAGCCUCUGGAUAUAGUAAAAGAAGAUACUAUCGUAAUAGCAAUGAGAAAGCAGGACUGUACUCAGAAAUUUGUGAAAGCUGAGAUACGUGGUUAUGAGGAGGGUUCAAGAUUCUUGGUCGUAUUCCGUUUGGAGCCCACAGAUGGGCCGAUCAGGAUCGAGAACAGGACAAGUAAUGCAACUAUUGGUACUCGCCAGUCUGGUUUAGGUGAAGAUACUUGGAUCCAAGUGAAACCACUUUCGACCAGAAAAUAUUCUUGGGAUGAUCCAUAUGGACAGAAAGCCGUUGAUGUUAGCAUACAAAAAGGAGAUGUUACUAGUUUCCAGUAUGUUGACCUUGAAAACCCUGUUGCAAGUUCCACCAGUUUUGGGGAGCACGGCGUCAAGUUCAAUAUAGUUGAGACUGCCGAUGUCACAAUAUUGAAGUUCACCGAUUACCAUAGAAGACAGGAGGGAUCACCUGAAUCUGAACUUGUUGCAUCUACGUUGACGCAAAAUGAGACAGAGACAGGAGCUGGACCCUUGGAGCUUAUUAUUGAACUGGGAGUUGUUGGAGUCUCUUUGAUUGAUCAUAAGCCAAGAGAGCUUUUGUACUUAAAUCUGCAGAAGGUUUUCAUCUCAUACAUGACUGGUUAUGACUCUGGGACCACUAGCAGAUUUAAGUUGAUCAUAGGCCAGUUGCAACUUGAUAAUCAACUGCCGUUGUCCAUAAUGCCUGUUGUUUUGGCAACUGAGAGCAUGCCUGAUUCAAAUCAUCCUGUUUUCAAAGCGAACAUUGCUGUAAGCAAUGUAACUUCGAAUGGUAUUCAAGUCUACCCGCAUGUCUAUAUACGGGUAACUGACCAAACAUGGAGGUUGAAUAUUCAUGAACCUAUUGUUUGGGCACUGGUUGAUUUCUACAACAAUCUUCGCUUUACCGGCACCUCCAGCAGCUCAACUGUCACUGAAGUGGAUCCUGAGAUACGAAUAGAGCUUGUUGAUAUUUCAGAGAUAAGGCUUAAAAUAUCUCUAGAAACUGCACCUACUCAAAGGCCACGUGGCGUCCUUGGUAUUUGGAGUCCUGUCCUAUCGGCUGUGGGCAAUGCACUCAAGAUUCAGGUGCAUCUUAGGAAGGUAAUGCACAAAAGCCGGUUUAUGCGGAAAAGCGCAAUUGUCCCUGCUAUCGUUAACCGAAUCAAAAGAGACCUCAUCCACAAUCCUCUGCACCUUAUAUUUUCUGUGGAUUUUCUUGGAGUGACAAAAUCAACUUUGUCAUCACUCAGUAAAGGAUUUGCGGAGCUCUCUACUGAUGGGCAAUUUCUUCAACUGAGAUCAAAGCAGGGUUGGUCAAGGAGAAUCACUGGCGUUGGUGAUGGACUAGUUCAAGGGACUGAAGCAUUUGCUCAGGGUUUGGCUUUUGGGGUUUCGGGUGUUUUAAGAAAGCCAGUUGAGAGUGCCAGGCAGUAUGGUGUUAUUGGCAUUGCACAUGGUCUUGGUCGUGCCUUUGUGGGGUGCAUUGUUCAACCUUUGAGUGGUGCCCUGGAUUUUUUCUCCUUGACAGUUGAUGGAAUUAGUGCCAGCUUUAUAAAGUGUGUGAAUAUUCUGAAUAACAAGUUUGUUCCUCAGCGGAUUAGAGAUCCUCGUGCUAUUCAUCGAGAUGGUGUGAUAAGAGAGUAUGACAGUUUAGAAGCUUCUGGCCAGAUGGCCCUUUACCUGGCAGAAGCUAGCAGAUAUUUUGCAUGCACAGACUUGUUUCGAGAACCUUCUAAGUAUGCAUGGUCUGAUUACUACGAAGAUCAUUUUAUUGUGCCAAACCAGAGGAUUGCUUUAGUAACCAACAAGAGGGUGAUACUCCUUCAGUGCUUGGAUCUAGAUAAAAUGGACAGGAAACCUUCCAAAAUACUUUGGGAUGUCCCUUGGGAAGAAGUACUUGCAUUGGAACUUGCAAAAGCUGGGUAUCAGAGGCCUUCACAUGUAAUCAUACAUCUGAAGAAUUUUAGGAGGUCUGAGAACUUUGUAAGGCUUAUAAAGUGCAGUGUUGAUGAAGAACGGGAAGCUCAGGCUGUUUUACUUUGUUCUUCAAUACGAAAAAUGUGGAGAUCUCACCAGACAGGCACGAAAGUUGUACCCUUGAAGGUUCCUUCUGGCCUGCGCCCUGUAUAUUUUGCAUCAGAUGAUGAUAGAAGGGAAUCUCAGAGUCCUGCUAGGCCUUUGCUAAGCUCAAGAGGAGCGUCCAGUAAUGUUGAGCAUCGACUUAUAAACCACACAGUUAACUUCCAGAAAAUGUGGAGUAGUGAACAAGAAGUUCGGAGCCGGUGUAAACUUCUUGGGAAGCAGGUUGCAGACGAUGGAAGGAUUUUUAGCAUCUGGAGACCCCUAUGCCCUAGUGGGUAUGUCUCAAUUGGAGAUGUCGCUCAUGUUGGCAUCCAUCCACCACAUUUUGCUGCUAUCUACAAGAAUGUUAACGACAAUUUUGUGCUACCUCUUGGCUAUGACCUGGUUUGGAGAAAUUGCGCCGAGGAUUACAGGAGCCCUGUAUCAUUAUGGCAACCAAGGCCACCUGAGGGAUACGUGGCUCUGGGAUGUGUGGCUGUUUCUGCUUUCGAAGAGCCCCCUCUUGAUUGCGCCUUUUGCGUGAAUGAGAGAUUUGCGGAGGAUGCAGUGUUUGAGGAUCAGAUAGUAUGGGCUUCCUCAGAUGCUUACCCAUGGGGAUGCUACAUUUACCAAGUUCAGAGCAGUUCGCUGCAAUUCAUGGCACUCCGUCUUCCAAAAGAGCAGUCUGAGCAGAAGCCUAAGAAGAUCUUGGAGGCGUAUCUCCAGCGAGCAUCAGAUUAAUGAUCCUAUGAGGCGAAGCAGACAUGCCAUGCAUCGGAGACAUCAGGAGCGGUAUAAUACUCCCUCCGUCCCGACACUAUGAUAGUGUAAAAAAUGAUCUCACAUUUUGGGACGGAGGGAGUAUGAUAUAGGGAAAUGAGAAACUUUGCUAUGCAAAAGAGAAGACUCAGCAAUCUUGCGCAAGAUAGUUUGUCUUUGAUAUGAAAUAUUUUUGUACAGUUUUGGGCGGCAUUAUGUUAUUGAGCAUGGCAUUUUUGCGGGGAGAGAUAAUGUGCUAGCUUGGCUUUGUUUUUCGGCUGUUGCUGGGAUUUGUAUCUCUGCUUGAUGCUUAUCAAAUACAGUGUAAACUAGUAGGUGGGAAUGGCUGUAAGUGUACAUUUUGUAACGCGUUGUUAUAGUGCUCUUUCUACUGUGGUGCUGUUGCUAAGAUUUGAAGUUU